rnacentral:rRNA from 1 species
UACGUAGGGUGCGAGCGUUGCCCGGAUUUAUUGGGCGUAAAGGGCGCGUAGGCGGUCACGCACGUCCGUUGUGAAAUCGCUCGGCUCAACUGGGCGGGGUCAGCGGAUACGGCGUGGCUGGAGCAAGCUAGGGGGCAAUGGAAUUCCCGGUGUAGUGGUGGAAUGCGUAGAUAUCGGGAGGAACACCAGUUGCGAAGGCGGUUGCCUGGAGCUUUGCUGACGCUGAUGCGCGAAAGCGUGGGGAGCGAUCCGG